rnacentral:tRNA from 1 species
ACCUCGGUAGUCUAAUUGGCUAGGACGCUUGCGCGUGAAGCAAGCGAUCCAGGUUCGACUUCCAGCCGAGGUA